GACGAACGCUGGCGGCGUGCCUAACACAUGCAAGUCGAACGAUGAACCCGGAGCUUGCUCCGGUGGAUUAGUGGCGAACGGGUGAGUCACACGUGAGUAACCUGCCCUUGACUCUGGGAUAACUGCGGGAAACUGUAGCUAAUACCGGAUACGACCCUCGGCGGCAUCGCCAGGGGGUGGGAAGAAUUUCGGUGAAGGAUGGACUCGCGACCUCUCAGCUAGUUGGUGAGGUAACGGCUCACCAAGGCGACGACGGGUAGCCGGCCUGAGAGGGUGACCGGCCACACUGGGACUGAGACACGGCCCAGACUCCUACGGGAGGCAGCAGUGGGGAAUAUUGCACAAUGGGCGCAAGCCUGAUGCAGCAACGCCGCGUGAGGGAUGACGGCCUUCGGGUUGUAAACCUCUUUUAGUAGGGAAGAAGCGAAAGUGACGGUACCUGCAGGAAAAGCACCGGCUAACUACGUGCCAGCCGCCGCAGUAA
rnacentral:rRNA from 1 species